AAUUUUGAAUUUGAUUUGGGGUCCAACAAAGUGCCCCGCAGCCUAGUUCUUGGGACCGGGAUGCGCCGUGCAAGGGUUACAUAAAUGUAAUUCCGUCAUUUGCUUCAGAAUCACCGCCAACACCUACACCAACUGACAGCACGACAGAUAAGACUACCCGUACCCAAACAGAUACAAUUGAGACAUCCUCUACCAUGAAAACAUCAACCUCUACCUCAACCAAGCUCACUCUCACUGAGACGCAGGGAACAAAGGAAUUUGAGACAAAGACUAAGCCAGAAGGAGAAUUUGCUGUUACCAAAAGCCCAGCACCUGUUAGGAAAGUCUCAAGCUAUCAGAAAAGGAAAUUGUUCCCAGUUCGGCCGGUGGAAGGAAUAUCAGGUUCAACCCAAGCUCGAUCUCAACUAAUACCCACAAUUUGUAUGAGCAUUAUCAUAACUAGUAGGCCUAUCAUUCUCAAAUAUUGGUGACCCAAGUCUUCAAAAAUAAAACAUUUUUCAUACUGAACUCCAUUAAACGGAUGAUUGUCGACCAGCAGAACUUUUAGAUACA